rnacentral:rRNA from 1 species
GUAGUCCAUGCCGUAAACGUUGGGCACUAGGUGUGGGGUCCAUUCCACGGAUUCCGCGCCGUAGCUAACGCAUUAAGUGCCCCGCCUGGGGAGUACGGCCGCAAGGCUAAAACUCAAAGGAAUUGACGGGGGCCCGCACAAGCGGCGGAGCAUGCGGAUUAAUUCGAUGCAACGCGAAGAACCUUACCAAGGCUUGACAUACACCGGAAUGUGCCAGAGAUGGUUCAGCCCUUUGGGCUGGUGUACAGGUGGUGCAUGGUUGUCGUCAGCUCGUGUCGUGAGAUGUUGGGUUAAGUCCCGCAACGAGCGCAACCCUCGUUCUAUGUUGCCAGCACGUGAUGGUGGGAACUCAUAGGAGACUGCCGGGGUCAACUCGGA